rnacentral:rRNA from 1 species
UACGAAGGGGGCUAGCGUUGUUCGGAAUUACUGGGCGUAAAGCGCGCGUAGGCGGAUCGCUAAGUCAGGGGUGAAAGCCUGGAGCUCAACUCCAGAACUGCCUUUGAAACUACAUCGCUAGAAUCAUGGAGAGGUUAGUGGAAUUCCGAGUGUAGAGGUGAAAUUCGUAGAUAUUCGGAAGAACACCAGUGGCGAAGGCGACUAACUGGACAUGUAUUGACGCUGAGGUGCGAAAGCGUGGGGAGCAAACAGG